ACCACAGUCUUCUCCAGCGCUAGGUCGAUUGCCAAUGUCGUAACCAGGAAAAUCGCAAUUGAACAGCCAUUUGACACCGCCUUCUCCUGUGUUCCAGUCUUCCCAGAUUGCUCCCACCAGGCACGGUGAUAGAAUAGCAAGUAAAAGAGAUGGUGACAUGGAAGGAAACCGCAUACACCACCAUUUGCUGGGGAACGAGGAACCGCUAUCGAUACGACCACAGUGUUCUCCUGCGAUACGUCGGUUGCCAAUGUCGUAACCAGGAAAAUCGCAAUUGAACCGCCAUUUGACACCGCCAUAUCCCGUGUUCCAGUCUUCCCAGGCUGCUUCGACCAGGUACGGUGAUAGAAUAGCAAGUAACAGAGGCAAGGAUAACAAUAUCAUUCUAGACGUCAUUUUGCUCUGAUCUAUAUUUAAACGAAAUCG